UUUGUCCUUGCUCCUUUGAUAAUACUUAAAAAUGUAUACAAGUUUCGCAACAGUUAUAUUAUGUUCAAAUUACUACACUACAUAAAAUAGCAGAUUACUACGCUACACAAAUAGCUAGUUAAUGCAUAAUAGUAUUGUUAGUGUGAACAUCUCAACAUGGGCUUGAGUGAACUCAAACAAAGAAACCAUAUGCAGACAAGAAAUAUGCUUGUCUUUUAUUUCCAAUUAAAACUAGUACAUGUCAGGUUCGCACACGAUAGUGCAUGACACUUUAUUUGUCGUCGCUACAUCAAUCGAACCAUCGACUAAGCAACGGUGAACAAUCUAUCUAGUAUUAUAGCUCUUGUUCAGUUACCAACGAAGCCGCCAAAUGAGCCGGUGGUGGUGGAACAGUAUUGUGAGACAUACGCACCGCACGCCGCCGGUAGUGUUUGCAAGACAAAUGCCCUUAUCGCCUCAAAUGGAGGCUGGAUGGAGCCCUGGACCGACGGGUAUUGUUGUUGAGGUACCUUGAAGGUGCCCACACCCCACGAGUAUUGUUGUUGUUGUUGCUGAUGUUGUUGUUGCUCAUGCAAAAUAAUGGCAUGCGCGACACUAUUGAUGGCCAGGCAUCGUGAUUGCUCAGGGACCUGCCUGAACUACUCACAACACUCUUUCCGCAUCACCGCACAAACAUUUUCCUGCAAUAUUUGUGACUUGAAGGACGGUACCAGUAUGUUGCACUGCAACAACAGGACAUCCCUGCAUGAGAUCAAUUGUUGUUCAAAAAAGGACUGAAUGGUUUGCUGUUGUGGUUGCUGCGGAAAUGAUUGUUGUGGCUGAUCACUACGUAGAAUAUCGGAGGUGGCGGGUUCAAUGGUCGCCACAGCGACAAGGAGGGCAACGACGAGGAAGGUCUUCAUGGUGGAUUUGUGUUGGCUACUGCUUGAUUGGCUUUGUUGUUGUGCUCUUGCUAUGUGAAGGAUGAAUGAUGGUCAUCUUGAGGCAUGCCUAUUUAUAGAUGCCAUGGAAUGUUCUCUUUUACUCUUUGCAUUUGCUUUUAUUAAAAGUGUUUGGAUGCUUCUCGAAAGUUUCAUAUUGUUUGUGUUUGGUGGCACUAAUUAUUACAUGUGUAUUCUUGGAUGUUCAUUAAUCGACUGUUAGGAAAGCUUGAUAACCAACAUGCCUCAUCUUAAUCACUUUCUGAAAUACUCAUCUAGAUUGUAUCACUUUCUGAAAUUAGUUUGUAAUGUUCUGCAGGUUGUUACGCAUAAACCAGAUAGCCAUGGCUUGCACCGAACUAAAUUUGUAAUUUUGUGUGGCAUGUUAAGAUAGAUGGGACUAGUAAUGUAACUUGCUUUGGUAGAGCAUGACUCAUAAAAUUGCUUUUACACAUCAAGGAUUGUAAUGUUGUGCAAUUUUAUGAUAUAUAGAGCUGGUAUGAUGGCCUAUUACCAAAUCCAAUCCUUCUUCAUGACUUUCCAUGUCAUAUCACGAUAACAUAGGGUAGCCACGACAAAGGUGGAGAAGGUACUAGAAGCCACGUAACUCAAAAACAAAGAUAUACAAAAGGAGGGUACAAUCGCCAUACGAUUCCAUGAGAAUUAUUGAUCCGCCGCUUCAUCUCAUCGUUUGGGAGUUGAGGCAGCGGGGUGAUCUCUCUAUUGUGAAAGUUGACGGGUAUUUGCUCAAUAAUGUGGUGACAAAGAGUUAGGUCCCCAUGCUAUCUGAGCUAGCUACCUACUUUUUGUUGCCGGUGUAGCUCGAGAUCAUCUCUGCUAAGAAAGAGAUGCAUCGGAAGUCAAUGAGGGGAGUGCAUGAUGAGGCGUUUACGUUUGCAUCACACCAGAUGUCAUGGAUGUUAGAGAUACGACAGGCAAUUCAACUCGACGAAGAACGAAAAACAAGCAGGAGACACGAGAUUUAACGUAGGAAACCCCUCCGACAAGAAGGGGGGAAAACCACGGGCGCCAGCCAACCAAACUUCACUAUAUCGGGGGAGGUUACAAACGCUGGGGGUUUACAACUGAUCAACAUAUCCCGUGCUACGGCUUACAAGAGGUAUAUAUAACACACGUGACCUAGGUCAAUACUUGAAUUUGGAGCAUAACACAUAACAAUGGAAGCCGGCGUAGUCGGUGAUAUUGUACAUACGUUUACGUCUGUGUCACACCGCUAAUAUGCUUGAAGAUGUUUCACAAAGUUUAGUGAGUAUAUGUUGUCUAUCUCGUGUUAUGUACAGUACAUCUACGAUCUACGAAACGUAUUACUGCUUAUAUGUGUAACUAAAUAUCGAAUACUCGGUCUCGGUACACAACGUGAGGUAAUGAAGUAUGCGGUGCGCCCGGGCUUCCACGAAGUGCUAGCUCCGCCACUAGUUAUGUGAGGUAAAUAAUUUUAACAUUUUGAAUUUAGCAAGUACUCCCUCCGUCUCAAAAUUCCUGUCUUAAAUUUGUCUAGAUAUGGAUGUAUUUAAUAUUAAAACGUGACUUGAUACAUCCGUAUUUAGACAAAUCUAAGACAAGAAUUUUGGGACGGAGGGAGUAAUACCCAAGCCACUAUAUCCGGGAAAGUUUUUACCCUCACGUUUCACCACUUGGCUGAUUGGGACUAGGUGGCUUAUGGAAUGCGGACACGUGCGUUAUUUUGGGAGGCUGGGGGGUAGAAAUGUGUGUGUGACUGUAGUUUCCCCUACAAAAUUUUCCUUUCGCGUGUGCGUGUAGCUAUUUUGGGUAUUGAUUUGGAGUGCAUGUGGGCCAACCCUGUCUCGCUGACUUUCUUGCAUGGGUUGCGUGCGUGGCUAGAUGCAUUCGGUCUGUCUCCCUGCUGCCCACGAUCUGUCUCCUUGUCGGCUACUUCAUGCGUGCGUGGAUUGGCUUGGUUGCACAUGAAUUGGGUGGGCGUUUCUGGUGAUUUCUUCCUCUGCAUGGGUUGGUGUGGGUCAAUGCGCGUGGCCUUUUGGAUUAGCAUCUGCAUGCAUGCAGCCUUGGGAGGUGGUUUUCGAUUUCGCUACUUGCAUGCAUCUUACUAUUUCUCAAUGGCCCGUAGAAGUAGGCUGGGUUUUUCUUUUUUUGCAUGUACCGGCUAUUGCGAGUAUUGACGCGUGAAUAUAUUGACAUGUAACCGGUGCCUUCUCGAUAGCUCAAUGUAUCAUGCUUUCUGGAAUUCCUAUCGACCUAUAAAUACGGGAUUCUCUUCAGUUAUGUUGCAAGCCAGUUGCGUAGCGUUCCAGACUAGCGGCGCCAUGCACGCGUCGAGGCCGACCUGCUGGCCGUCGCCGUCCAAGCCAUCGGCGGCGGCCCUGCGAUGGAGCACGCAUAGUUUGGAAAGCAAGGUGCGAGGUACCCGGGGCCGGCCAGGAUGUGCGUGCACGCUAGGCUAUGGAUCGCGUUGUCCGAGGAGUCCAACGGGCAAGGUGAGCCUCAACGGACUUCUUCGGCGCACCGAUGAGGCUUUCGGACGGGCGGAAGUCCAGGCAUGGUUUGUUUCUCCGGAGAGGACCUAUUCCCUUAUUCCUCAUGUGUGUAUCUUCUCUUCCGCCUGGAUAUCGAUCUGACGCAGGAGGCACGCUAGCUGCAAAGCGCGACGGUAGCGGAUGUGGGAGGCCUCCGGCCGAUGGGGCCAAACACGGUGGUGCCGACGGUCGGCAAAGUCGCGACAGAGAUGGACGAGCUCGCGCUCCACGACCAUGGUGAUGGCCAGCGCGGGGCACCCGUGGCUGUUUUCACGCACCAGAUCUACCAGCGUCGCCCCUUUCUCUUCCGCACCAGUUCCACACGUCGCCGCCGGUUUCCUCCAUGACCCCUCCUCACCUCCAUCCCCAGCCAGCCCCCAUACACGCUGCCCGCCGGUGGAGCUCACCAGCGCCGUCAUGGACUCGGCGGCGUUGGAGGCCCAUUUUCCUGAGUAUCUGUUGGUGGAUUGGACGCCCGGCGGCGCUGCUCCAGCUCCUCAUGCCGGCGUGGUGGGUCAUCACUCCAGCGAGAGGAAGAAUGCGCAUGCACGCGCCGAUGUCCGCUGGAUCCCAUCCGCGUGGCCCAGGCGAGGUCGUUCUGCCCUAUGUUCGGCGUCCCUCUUCUACUGUUGCUUCUUUACUCUUUUUUGAGCAUCGAGGAUUGGCGGCUGCGGCGGAGCAGACUACUCCGUCGGCAACACCGCCGGUAUCGGGUGGCCAAUGCCUGUGAUGUGAAGAGGCUGGUGAUGCCGCCAGUCCACGAGCAACCAUACGCCGGGCACCGCGGGAGUCUCUGACGCGUCAAUCGCGGUCGCCCAACACGCGCGGACACUAUGAUGAAUGAGAGUGUCUUCAUUUUAUCCAGUAAUUUGGAAACUAAAGCUUAACGAUUAUCAAAAUUUCCCGCAAAAAAAACAUUAUCAUAAUCCCCCAGAAACAUUCAUGUAAUUGGCUAAAUCAAGCGGCAGUGCAACUCUAGGCGACACGCGGCUAAACGCGUAUCUACGCAAGGGCCUAGAAGGUCCGCCAUGCAUGCACCAUAGUCACAUCUACCUUUUCAUGCAUAUACAACUAAUACAAUAAUCUACCAUGCACAACUCAACAAGCGAUGCAUAAGUCACAUCCACGGAUCCACCUCCAUAUAAGUGGCUAAUAAAAUAAUCUAGGAGUACCACGCAUGCAUGUAGCCACGCUCUCUCUUGCAGGUAUUCAUUUAAAAAGAAUGUUAACCUCAUAAUAUGCACUCAGCAGGCAUGCAACCGUUAAAAAAGGAUUAUAAUUUCCGAAAACUUUACUUUCCUCCGCACUGCGCAAACAACAACAAUAAAUAUCACGAUCAAACAAUAUCAACCAAUUCUUAAGCGACACCAUGUGUACAUUCAAGUUUCAUCUUCCCUUUUGAAUAUCAUGAAUUACCUACCCUCUUUUUGAGGAAAAUACGUAUAUACAUACAAGGACUACACGUAUCCGUCACAUGAACAGACAAUAAAUGCAACGAAAAAUUCCUGUGCCACACACAAAUUAUGUCCCGCGUGCAUAUUCUAAGAUGACGUACUUGCAUGCAUGAAGUACAUUCAGAAAUAAAACCCGAGGCCACACCAUGAUGAUCUAAUUUAACAAUACUUAUUAAUGUUUAUUUAUCUUCUUGCAUUGAGUUGCGCCACUUUGGCCAAAAUAAAUGAUCCCCACUGGAGAUGUAUCAAACAUGUAUUUCCCUGUUUGGUAGCAUGCAUGAUGUGUGAUGGCAGUAAAUUUUUCUAUCGUAUUUUUCCAUAUUCAUAAUUUUACAUACAAUAAUCUUCCAUCUUAAAGUAAUAGCAUUUACUUUAAAAAAUAAACACAAUGUAUAUAACCAAACUGUAUAGACGAGCGCGGCGUGCCGCGCUGGCAUAGGCUAGUAUGACUAUGUUGGAGCGAGAUCAAAGUUCUCCGGCCGGAGACAAGACCAAUAGCAGCCGGCUUAGAGAAGUCAAACUUGCAUCCGUGCUACAAAAAUUUCCAUGAGAAUGGAACGCGGGAAAACCAAUGCAACCGACGCCACGACAAGCAGAGGAACGGAGAAUCACUUCACACUCUCCUCCCGCUUAUAUUCCACCGGUCUCGCAGCGUGGCCUAACAAGUCAAACACGUGUGCAUACUAGUAGUAGCUUGCCACUCCCUUUCUAUCCUGCAUUUCUCCUCCUGCACAGCCAGAGACCAGACAGGCACACACCCCCCCGCUCUACGAGUGCUCACGGUACCAGUAAGAAGGACAGGAGCAGGGAGGAGGGGAGAUCGAUGGCGAGCAGCGUGGGGGGAGAUGCCGGGGAAGGGGAGUGGCUCAAGGUCGCCGAGCUGAGGGCCAUGGCGGGAGCCCAGGACCCGCAUGUCAAGGUACGUUCCUUCCUUCAUCUUUCGUCGCUGUCGUACGUCUUCCUUUUGAGAGAUGAUAUGCACGGCUCGACGGUUCUGCUAUUGUCAGUUUGACAGCGGCGAUCGAUAUGCAACUAUCCAGAAAUCCCCGGCCGCGUUCCUUGUUUCGUUUGCAUGCUUUAGUUUUAUAGAUACUCCCUCCGUCCGAAAAUACUUGUCGGAAAAAUGGAUAAAAAUAGAUGUAUCUAGAACUAAAAUAUGUCUAGAUACAUCUAUUUUUUUCGACGAGUAUUUUCGGGCGGAGGGAGUAGAUUGCGAGCAGAACGCAAAUAACCGAUUUUUCCUUUUUUUUGUACCGAGAUGAACGUAUCAGUAGAAUAUAAGAGUAGGAUCCCCUAAAAAAAGAAUAUAAGAGUAGGUUAUACGGCCGGUAACCUGUCACUUUAAUUGGUCAAAAUAAGGCAUACAGAGCAUCUCGGUAGCAGUUGGUUGUAUGGACAGAUUAUGGGGGAUUCAUCUUAACAAAUUGAUCCUUGACUGAACAACCAGAUGCACCAGGACAAGUGAAGGGAACAGCCGUAUCGUACUCAUACCUCACCUCUAGCUAGCAGAACCACGUGGCUAUGUGAAGCAUGGGCGCCGCGCCGGCCCUACUAUUUUUCGAGUAAAUAGCCAAAAACGAUCACAGUUGAGACAACCUUUUUCUCAGAACUACAACUUCACAAAUCUUUUUUCCAAAACUUACUAAUUUUGUGCUAUUUUCUUCUUCUAAAAACUACCGUAUUUUGUUGAUGACCUAUUGACCUCAAACUAAGGGUGGUUGUAUUCAAAAAAAACUAAGGGUGGUUAUGAUAUAUAUGGCCCACCCGUCGACCCCGACGUGGCACAAAGUCAACCCCAUUGAGCUGCAUUGUUAUAUUGACCGUUAUGACAUGCGGGACCCACACGCCAUUUUCAGUAAGAGAAAGGACUCGCACACACGCACUGGGCGAAGCAUUUUCAUGUUCGUCCGUUCGGUCAAACCAGCCGCUCGCACGCACACAGCCCCGGACAUGUGGCGCGCGCUCUGCCUCGCCGAGUGGCCGUCCCUCGCGGGCCAGCAUAGGCUCCUCUCCGCGGUGAUGCCGCGCCGGCUCUUCGCUGACGCUUCCUCUUUCGCAGACCGGACGUCCGGGAGCUCGGCGACGACGGCAUCCCUGCGAAGAUCGUCUCCGCGGUGGACGUGUAUUGCAGGGGCACCCUCGUGUUGUCACAUGUGGUGGAGAUGCCCGCGUAUCGCCGCCAUGGUUCCUUAGCUCAUAGAUCCGCGUCGAGGUCGUGGAUUACAAGAAGCCGGCACCGGUGGCAGCGGCGUUCUCUCCGGUGGAGCUGAAGCUGAGAUGGUUGGUCGUCAACCACGCCUGCGGCCGAGCGAUGAAAGUGUCUAGCAGGCGGGCGCCUUGGGCCGGCACUGGUACGCCGGCGAGAUGCUGGUCCGGUUCAUGAUGGUGUUGGGCGGGUGCAACUUCGAGAUCACUGUGACCUGACCUAAGGAGGCCACACACUUCAGCGAGGUCAGCCUCGCAGUGGAGAACGCCCACGACGCCACCGUCUACAAGCUGCUUGAGGAAAUAUCCCCAUAGAUAAAAUGUCUCAAGAGAGAAAAUGGUUGACGCCGAUGUGUGGGUCCCACCUGUAAUAACGGCAAUAUAACGGUCAAAGUUAACGGAAUUGACAUUUUAUGCCAUGUUAGCCCUGACAGGUGGGGCCACCAUGUCAUGAACGAUUCUAAAAUGCACGAACAGGUACCUAACUCGAACGGGUAUUUUUUAGCAAAAAGUUAGUGCGAAAUUGGUACGCUUUGACAAAAAUUUGUAAGGUGAUAGUUCUAGGUUGCCCCGAUCGUGAUAGUUUUUGGCUAUUUACUCUUAUUUUUCUACCAUUGCUGAUAACUAUUCAAGCAAGCAUACAGCGGAUCGAAUAAGCUGGAAUCACCAAGACACAUGGCGCAGAGUAAUACUACAUAUACAAAGGUUUACUUAAAAAAUUACAUACAAACUUAUGUGGAUGAUUUUGAUUGGUAGAGGGGUGAGGGGGCUAACCCCACUUAAAUUCAAGGGGAAAGAGAAUUAGUUUGAAAGGUUAAGUAAACCUUUGUACUGAUUCUUUGUAGGUCUAUAUAUGCAUGCGGCUAGGAGAAUUUAGUACAGUAUUAAUUUAGUUAAUUCCAUUCAGUAUUUUACCUGAUCGAGUAUACUGACGCGUACGCUGCAGGAGGUGGACAACCUGACGCUCCGGAGGUUCCUGCGCGCGCGCGGCCACGACGUGGGCAAGGCCUCGGCGUUGCUGCUCAAGUUCGUGGCGUGGAGGCGGGAGGCCGUGCCGGGGGGCGUCGGCGCCGUCAUGCCGGCGGAGCUGGUGCGGGCGGAGCCGUCGCGAGAGUUGGCCUCCAUGGGCGGCGUCGACCGCGCGGGCCGCCCCGUCCUGCUCGCCUUCCCGGCCAAGCACUUCUCCGCCAACCGGGACAUGGCCGGCUUCAAGCGUACGCACGUCGACCCCACCUUCACUCCCAUGGCCUCUGAUCUUUGCUUGCUAAUGAUCGACGAUGGAGUUUGACGAUCUUGGUUACCUUCAUCCGGUGCAGGGCUUGUUGUGUACCUGCUGGACAGUGUCUGCGCGAGGAUCCCACGGGGGCAGGACAAGUUCAUCGUCGUCGUGGACCUCAAGGGGUGGGGGUACGCCAACUGCGACGUGCGCGCGUACGUGGCGGCCAUCGAGAUCAUGCAGAGCUACUACCCGGAGCGGCUGGGCAAGGCGCUCAUGGUGCACGUGCCCUACAUCUUCAUGAAGGCCUGGAAGAUGGUCUACCCCUUCAUCGACGCCAACACCAGGGACAAGUUCGUGUUCGUGGACAACAAGAGCCUGGAGGGGGCGCUGCGGCGGGAGAUGGAUGAGAGCCAGGUGCCGGAGAUGUACGGCGGGAAGCUGCCCAUUGCCCCCCUCACCGACGACUAGGUAGCCAUUUCUAAGACAAGUAUUUCCGGACGGAGGGAGUACGACGUACGAUCGGUCGAUGUAUGUAGCAUCGAAACCGAAACAAACGGGACAGGGUCUCUUGUAUGUAGAUGUAAUUGGGGGAGAGAGCUCGCAGUGUCACCGUCUGUAUGGUAAGGUAUUUUUCUGACAGAAAGCAUUCCUGCAUUCAGCGGUGUGAUAUGGCAAGGGGGAUUAAUGGCAUUUAAACACGACAGAAUUUGGACGCGAGUCCCGUUCCUAGGAUAUUGGUAGUAGUAUUAUUUUAAGAAAACAUUCAAUUUACUCUAUUACUUGAGGACACUGAC
rnacentral:lncRNA from 1 species